rnacentral:rRNA from 1 species
UACGAAGGGGGCUAGCGUUGUUCGGAAUCAUUGGGCGUAAAGGGCGCGUAGGCGGCCGAUCAAGUCGGAGGUGAAAUCCCUCGGCUCAACUGAGGAAUUGCCCUUCGAUACUGUUCGGCUUGAGUCCUGGAGAGGGUAGCGGAAUUCCCGGUGUAGCGGUGAAAUGCGUAGAGACCGGGAAGAACACCAGUGGCGAAGGCGGCUACCUGGACAGGUACUGACGCUGAAGCGCGAAAGCUAGGGGAGCAAACAGG